AGCUACUGAAUGCAGCCAAAAGAGGCCCUGGGCUGAGUGCCUGUGAGGACUUGCUGUAAUGAACGGCUGAAGACUACAAUUAUAUGAAGACAGGACAACUUUUCUAACGGAGGGGAGGAGCAGAAGCAAUCUAAUCAGGUGACACUGGCAGAGGAAGGAAAAGAAUUGCGUUCUGGCCAUAAUUAGUCUUCGGUCCCAAUUUGCUGUUUCCAUUCUUCUUCAAGGCAACAUACCAGUUCUUAUCUGCGUGCAUCUUUGACUUAAAUAAAGAUUGGCCAAAAAACAUCCACUCAGCAGCAAAAACAAGUGACAUUUAAUGGUGCAUGUGUGAAUGAUUUUUGAUUCCAAGCUCUCCAAGCUACAAGAUCUUUGCUAGCCUCAAAGCUUCUAUCAUGGAAACUUUAUACUUACCGAGCCAUAUCCCAGAGUGACCACAGGAUAUCAGCAAGUCCAGAUCCCUGCAGGGGAGAUCCAGAGGGGACAGUCAAGACAUGAGGAUACUUAGCCAAAAUUUCCAAAAGAAAUAUUUGGCCGGAGUGGUCCAUUGUGAAGAUUAUUAAAUCUGAAACAGGAUUUUGCAGUGGCAAAAAUCAGUGAACUUCAUGCUCUAGUUAAUAACACGUCAAAGAAGGGUUAAAACUGCAUUUUGUCAGCUUCUCAGUCAACUGGGCAUUUUUAUUGAGUGUGGCACAAAGAGCAAUCGCUUCGGAUCAAUAGACCAAAUUGUUUGUGUCCUAAGAAAUAAAGAUUGACUCCUGCAGAUUCUCUAGCCUUCUCAUUUCCUCUUUCCAGGCUGUUAUGGCACAGAAGAGGCUUUUCAGUAGAUUCUACUCCCUCAGGAAAAUGAAUCGGAGCUGCGAAUACAUCCUGCACAAACAGACAUAAAAGGCAUUUUGUCUUGGCAAGACAACAGACUUUAAAUUAGUGCAAGGAUGCCACUUCAAACAAAGGGUAUUAUCAAGAAGGGAAUGUCAGUAGAAGAUUUAAUAUAUGUAAAGGAGAGUAGCUACAAGCUUUAAAUACUUAUAUGACAUGUUUAUAGCUUUUGCUGCCACAGCAGAAACAUGCCUGAUUUUCCUGUAGUCUUCUUUAGAGAACUGGUUACUGGUACCACAAUUGCUGGUGUAAAAUUUCCUAAAAUGUGGGCUCUUGUGCCUGAAAUCUAGAUAGAGAUGUUGCGAUUGAAUAAUUUUUAUAUAUACAUACACAUUACAUGUGCAUGCAUUCAUACAGAACAUAUGAUGGGCAUGUCUGUGACUGAGGUAUGAAGAUAGGCUCAGAGGAAAGAAUCAAUUCUUCAUGGACCAAGUCAAAGAGGAUUUUAGAGCUGAGCCCAUGAUUUUCUCAGCCGUAUAGACUGAAUGAUAUUUGGCAUCCCCUGCCUGUGAUUCAGCUUAGCUCAUGGGUGCCAUUUCUUCAACCCUUUGCCCACUGCAUGGCACUAUUUUCAAUAUGUUUGUGGCUUCUCACUGUAAUAAUAGAUGUGGUUAAAGGCAUACAGGCAACUGUCAAUGGAUUUAGUCCAAAUGAACAUGGGUGCAACAGUGUAAUCCAGACAAACAUUAUGUUUAAGACUGUGGAGAGCUUUUUCCCCCUCCAAAUUAUACAUCUGUUAAAAAUAACUAAGGGCCCAGUUAGACAUUAAAGGGGAUUCAUGACUGUUGGAUCAACAGCUGCCCAGAUCUAGAAACAGCCUUUGUAAACAGUUGUAAGUGCUUUGUAAUAGCACAGAAUAAUAUUUUCUCCUAUUUGGAUCAAUUAAGCUGCUUACUGUGGU